GGAGCAGGAGGGGGCACAAAACAUGAUAUCCCUCUAAUGAAGAGGUCCAGUGUGUCAUCUUCCAUACUUGGGCCUUUGAGCACGGGAUUCUCACCCCCUCUAAAGAAGAAAAAUACUGACGAUGGAUUGGGAUUGGCGGAGGCUGCGGAUGAGCAGUCCCGCCCACCUCAAUGAAGAUCAUAUCGUGAAACUGUCGUGGGCUUGGGAACCUACAGAUUGUACGGAUUUUAAAAAAACUCAUCCACUCCAAAGAUCCCGACAUGGUGUUCCUUAUGGAGACUAAAAUGUAUACAUCAAAGGCUCUUCAACAUAGAGGUAUUUGUGGUUUACCUAAUAUUUUUCCAGUUCAUUGUGCAGGGCGAGGGAAAUCUAGAGCAGGAGGCUUAUGCCUUUGGUGGCACAUUGAUAUUCAAUUGGAAAUUAUUAAUGCAUCAUUGCAUCAUAUUUUGUGUACUAUUUUGCACCCUGAUAAGGCAGUCCCUAUGACAAUGGUUGGCCUUUCUGGCUAUCCCGAGGAGGGUAGGAAAAUAGAGACAUGGAACCUUAUAAAAAAUUUGAUGCCCAGGACCUGAGGGCCUAUGUGGUUAUCGGAGACUUUAAUGAUGUCUUAUCCCCCUUUGAUAAAUUGGGUGGGGACCCUCCCGAUUUGGGACAUACUCAGUGGGUUAAUCAGAUGUGUAGAGAUUGCGGCCUAUUUGAGGUGGAGUUCUUAGGGAAGCGGUUCACUUGGUCUAAUAAUCGAACCGCUCCGGAAACUAUUGAAGAAAGGUUGGAUUUAGCUUUGAUUCAUGAUGAGUGGAAUGCCCUCUGGCCGGUCACAUCUAUUGUACAAUUCAAGCGACACCAGUCCGACCAUAGCCCCAUCCUUUUAAAGUGUGGUACCAGUAGAGGGCGGAAGGAGCUCAAACGAACGCAUAUGUUCAGGUUUGAGGAGUUAUGGCUUUAGGAAGGAGUUGAGUGUGCAGAGGUUGUAACUGAAUCAUGGUGCAAUGGGGGAACAUAUUUUCUUACCAGAAUUGCAAACGUGAGUAGUGCUCUUGAUGGUUGGGGCAAAUCCAAGUUUGGAGACUUACCCAAGAAAAUUGUUGAUCAGCAAGCCUUGUUGCAAGACCUUCAGGGAAAAACCCAAACAGAGCAAGUGAGGUUGGCAACUAGGGAGGCAUCAAAAGAGUUGGAUAACUUGUUGGAGCAGGAAGAGAUCUGGUGGGGUCAGAGAUCAAGAGCCACAUGGCUAAAACAUGGAGAUAAAAACUCAAAAAAUUUCCAUCAGAAAGCGUCCCAAAGGUGUAAGAGGAAUAUGAUUAAGCAAAUCCGAGAUGACCGAGGAAGGAAAUUUGAAGAGGAGAAAGACAUUUCUAGGGUCCUUAUGGACUAUUUUACUAACCUUUUUGCCACUUCACAUCCUUCGGGGGUGGAGGAGGUAACUUCUUUGGUUGCAGGUCGCAUUUCUACAGCUCAUCUGACUGUCCUCAACGAACCUUUCAGCAAGGAGGAAGUUGAGGAGGCGCUAUUCCAGAUGCACCCAACAAAAGCGCCACGCAUUGAUGGUCUUCUUGCACUUUUUAUCAAAAAUUCUAGAAUGUUAUAGGGGAGGAGGUGUCAGAGUUUUGUCUUCAAAUUUUGAGCGGUGCUCUAUCACCAGGGCGUUUAAUUACUGAUAAUGCGUUGAUUGCCUAUGAAUGCUUCCACUAUAUGAAGAAGAAAAUUACUUGCCGCAAUGGCACUAUGGCGCUAAAAUUGGACAUGUCCAAAGCGUAUGACCGUAUUGAAUGGUCCUUUCUUGAGGCAGUACUAAAAAAGAUGGGUUUUCCUGAUAGCUGGAUGACAGUGUCCUGUUUGCUCGAACAAGGGUUGAGGAGGCCCAGUGCCUGAAAAAUAUUCUCACCAUCUAUGAGAGAGCUUCUGGACAGAUGAUUAAUCUUGAAAAAUCUAUUAUUUCUGUGAGCCGAAACGUACCUGAUAAUAGUUUUCAUGAGCUUAAGCAGUUGUUGAAUGUACAGGCGGUGGAAAGCUUUAACAAGUAUUUGGGAUUACCGACCAUCAUUGAUAUUGAUUGUAUGGUCUCAAAAAAUUUCUAGGGCGGAGAUCCAUCUCGACAAGGUCUACAUUGGACAAAGUGGGAGAACCUAUGCAAGAGUAAAACGGAUGGUGGCUUGGGAUUUAGAGACUUUAAAUCUUUUAACUUGGCUUUGGUGGCAAAAAAUUGGUGUCGUAUUUACACUAAACCAGAGAGCCUUUUGGCGCGAUUUUUCAAGGAAGUCUAUUUUUAUAACUGUAAUUUGAGGUUGGCUAAAAAGCGUUUUCCUUCUAGCUAUGCAUGGUCUAGUAUCAUGAAAACUAGUUGGAUUUUCUAGCGUGGGGGAAUGUGGAGGAUUGGGGAUGGAACCCAAGUCAAUUUAUGGACUGAUAAAUGGUUGCCUAGUGGAUCUUCACUAUAGGCAAGACCUAGCUGCAGAACUAGCACUAUCUAAGGUGGCCAAUUUAAUUAACCACGAGCAACAUAGCUGGAAGAAGGACUUGAUAGAACAUGUUUUCAGUCCAAGCACAGCUGAGGAAAUUCUUUCAAUCCCUUUGAGCAUAAAUGGUGGCCUGGAUGUACUGUUUUGGACCACAGAUUCAAGAGGUCAGCACACUUCUAAGGCAGGUUACAACUUCCUAAUGCACCAAGCGUCCCGUGAAGCUCCUUCAUCAUCCUCAUUUGUUUUGUUCACGGCGGGGUUCUGGAAAGGCUUUUGGGCAUCCACGGCCUUACCUCGAUGCAAGCAAGUGAGUUGGAGAGUGGUUUCAGGUUAUCUUCCUUUGAGAGCGAAGCUGAUUCGGCGCCAUGUCGAUGUAGACCCAGGCUGCAAUCUGUGUGCUGAAGAGAGUGAGACGGAGGAGCAUCUUUUUAUGCAUUGUCCAUCGACUUGUCAGGUCUUGUUUGCAUCACCUCUGUCUCUCCGCGUUGACAAUUUUCUCACGUUUGCAGAUUUUUGGAGACACAUUCAUGAGCUGCAUGAUAGUGAAGUUAUGGCUCUAGUCCAGACAACUAUUUACAUGAUGUGGGAGGCCCGUAAUCACCACCAGUUCCAGCAGCGACCUUCUUCAAUGGAGGACAUUCUCCAGCGAGUAGCAAGCGUGCAGGCGGAGGUGCGUGUAGGUGCAUCAGCUCCAGCUACGAUUGAGAGAAAUGUGGCUUGGUGCGGACCUAAUCGUGGCACUUAUAAGUGCAAUUUUGAUGCUUAAUUCGUGGAUGGGAGACCGACCGGUUUGGGUAUGGUGGUUCGUAACCAUAGAGGUGAGGUGAUGGCCUCUGCGUGCUCCUAUGCAGUUCAUGUUACCACUCCUCUUCUGGCUGAAGCAAUGUCCAUGAGGUGGUCCUUACAACUGGCUAUUGAUUUGGGUUUCCGACGAAUUUCAUUGGAGAUAGAUUGCCUGCAGUUGUUUAACCACUGGCAUGCAAAGGAGGAUGGUCGGUCGUAUUUGAGUUAUAUUAUUAGUGAUUGUCGUUUAUUGAGUUCUGCUUUUGAUUUAGUUUCUGUUAUAUUUGUUCGCCGUAAGGGUAAUGCGGUGGCGGAUUUUUUGGCUAAGAAUGCGGAAGCUUAUACCGAUAUGGUAUGGGUGGAAGAGGUCCCUUUAGCCGCCGCACUGCUUAUUGAUCGUGAUGUAAUGAACCUUUUGCCGGUUGGCCUUUAAUAUAUUUGCAGUUGAAUUUCAUAAAAAAUAGUAUC